AUCCUAAUUCUCUUCUAUUUUUUACUUGGACGGUUUGGGAGCUAGCCCACUACGCAGCCGUACCUCAACUUUUUCCUCUAGCUUUCCAAUCUAGAGCGGGCGGAGGAGCGGUUGGAGAUUGGAACUGAGGUGCGGCGGCGGCGAGCGGGUUCGCGUCCGACGGACUCGGGAGCCAGGCGAGCAGCGGGUGGGUUCUGCGCUCUUGCUGGAGUCGCCGACGUCGUAGUCGGCCUGCCGAUUCGCCGGGUCGUGGCGGCCGGCCUAAUCGCGGGCGUCGUGGUCGGACGGCCAAAUCGGCGGCGUGGCGAGCAAGUGGGUCGUAGCUGCGGGCGGUAUGGGCACCACCUCCAUCUUCUCCUUUCUCUACUGCAGGUGCUGCGCCGCCUUCCGCCGGCCGUUGUCUCGGAAACUCGUUCCGCAUUCAUUUAGCUGUCCAAAAUUUUGGCAAACUCCAUCCGCUGUGUGUGCAGACGAGUGACACGGGCACAAUUACAUCGAUCUGCACUGAGGGCUUUGCAUGAUAUUCGCUUCCUCUUCCCAACAAUUGGUCAAGAUAACUGAAAGGAGUUUGGAUAUAACAACUGUUCAUGUUGUAGCCUUGUGUAUUUUGUGUGGCCUGAGCUCAAGCCUGAAUCCAGCAAGCCUUUUUGAGCCAAGGUUAUGUUAUUGUUUUUCAUUUGCUGAUUUCUGUGAAGCCUCUCAAGAUUAUCAGCUCAUUUAUUAGGAUAAUAAGCUUAUCAUUAAUUAACUGAAUUCUGAAGCCAGAUAUAUGUGUAUUCACGUGCAUCAUAGUCCAUACAUUGUUUGGGUUAUAAAGGACGAAAUCAUAUGGCAUUCUCUGUACAUAUUUUGUCGAGCCAUUUAUUCAGGAUUGGUAGCUUAAAUUCUGAGCUUUGAAGUUCAGGAAUAGCUAGCUCCCAUGUGUCGGUGUAUUUAAAUAUUUUGGUAAUACUAGCAUAUGGCAUCCUAGGUGUCCCUGUUUAAAUAAUAUCUAGGUGCAAUCUCUCCAUCUUGUAAUUGUAAUUAUGUAUUGUUUAUUGUCUUGCUUUCUCAGGUGUUGAACGCGUUCAAUGCUAGGAAACUUGAUGAGCUGAAUAUAUUAAGGUUAUUACAGGGAACCACUUCUUCAUAUCUAUUGUGGAGAUAACAGUUGUACCCUAGGCUCUAAUGAUGGAGUUCCUUGGCAAGUUCACUUCAGUAGUCACGCUAAGUUGGGAGUGGCAGUUGUGGUUGGUACCAAUUGGUCUUGCUCUUUUCUAGUGGUCGAUACAGGGAGCUCCUCUCUCCACCGGCAGCUUCAGCCCUCCACUGCCAGAGGUCCCUAUGCUCUUACGGCGACUACGACAGCAGCGCAUUUGUACCGGCUAUUAGCUCCUCGAACAGUCGACUCCAGUACUGCCAUUUGUACCGGCUAUUAGCUCCUCGAACAGUCGACUCCAGUACUGCUUCAGGGAGGACUAGCUGGAUGCGACAAAGCGCCGGAGAAAAUGUUAGUGAUUGUGUUAGUCAAGUGUGUUCUUUGCCGGGGUAGAUAAGUUAGGGGAGAUGUUGGCAAGACUUUUUCGAUGUAAAAUGCAAUUAGUGGCUCUAAAGGCCCUGUUUUGGAAGAGUAGCUACCCCACAGUCCGUAGCCAUCCAUUAUGGUGCCUAGAUUCGUGUUAGUUUUGCUGAACAGAACAAACUGUUCACCGUAUCAGCGCCACUAAUCCACAUCCUGCAUGCAAUUCAUGAUGGUCUUGGAGGCUUUUGUUAGCUUUACUACACACAGUGGAGAACAAAAAAAUAGCGAGGAAUCUUUGCAAUUGGAUAGAUAGGGGAGAGAGAACAAUCUUGACAAAGCUGUGAAAAGAUUAGGUGAGAGAGAAAUAGCAUGAUAUUUUUCUAUCCUCCACCAUUCUCUCUUAUAUUAGCCAUCAAUAUAAACUUUGCCUUCGAUAGGUGAAAUGUUUGGACACUCUGAAUGCAAAGUAUGACUUUAUGAA